rnacentral:rRNA from 1 species
GACGAACGCUAGCGGCGUGCUUAACACAUGCAAGUCGAACGGAAAGGCCCUGCUUUUGUGGGGUGCUCGAGUGGCGAACGGGUGAGUAACACGUGAGUAACCUGCCCUUGACUUUGGGAUAACUUCAGGAAACUGGGGCUAAUACCGGAUAGGAGCUCCUGCUGCAUGGUGGGGGUUGGAAAGUUUCGGCGGUUGGGGAUGGACUCGCGGCUUAUCAGCUUGUUGGUGGGGUAGUGGCUUACCAAGGCUUUGACGGGUAGCCGGCCUGAGAGGGUGAACGGCCACAUUGGGACUGAGAGACGGCCCAGACUCCUACGGGAGGCAGCAGUGGGGAAUAUUGCACAAUGGGCGGAAGCCUGAUGCAGCAACGCCGCGUGCGGGAUGACGGCCUUCGGGUUGUAAACCGCUUUCGCCUGUGACGAAGCGUGAGUGACGGUAAUGGGUAAAGAAGCACCGGCUAACUACGUG